rnacentral:lncRNA from 1 species
UAGCCUGAGGAGGUUCAGAGUUUGUUGCAGGAGAGGGUUCCAGAUCAUCAUAUUCAUAAGCUGCAACAAGUCUCCUUCUUUUCUGCUUUGGUGGAGAAGCAGCUUCAGUGUUUAUAGUCUUAGAGACUGUAUCAGAGUUUACAGUAGGAACUGUAUCAGAGUUUGUUGGCACAUCAGACUUUGUCUUCAGAACUUGUGUAGUAACAGAGGUUCUGGUCUUCAUAGUGGAAGGGGCUGCAUCAGACUUUGUAGCCCUUUUU